UACAGAGGUCUCGAGCGUUAGUCGGAGUCACUGGGCUUAAAGCGUACGUAGGCGGAUAUGCAGGCGUCGUGUGAAAUCCCUUGGCUCAACCAAGGAACUGCACGGCGAACCGCAUGUCUUGAGAUCGGUAGGGGCGGUCGGAACGAUAGGUGGAGUGGUGAAAUGCGUUGAUAUCUAUCGGAACGCCGAAGGUGAAAGCAGGCCGCUGGGCCGAUUCUGACGCUGAGGUACGAAAGCGUGGGGAGCGAGCGGG
rnacentral:rRNA from 1 species